UACGGGGGGGGUAAGCGUUGUUCGGAAUUACUGGGCGUAAAGGGCUCGUAGGCGGAUCGAUCAGUCAGGGGUGAAAUCCCAGGGCUCAACCCUGGAACUGCCUUUGAUACUGUCGAUCUGGAGUAUGGAAGAGGUGAGUGGAAUUCCGAGUGUAGAGGUGAAAUUCGUAGAUAUUCGGAGGAACACCAGUGGCGAAGGCGGCUCACUGGUCCAUUACUGACGCUGAGGUGCGAAAGCGUGGGGAGCAAACAGG
rnacentral:rRNA from 1 species